CCUCGCCGGGCGGGCGGGGGGCCGCCCUUGGCCGCGGGAAGGGCGAGCGGGGGAGCAGCGCCCCGUCCUCGGGGCCCCCGGUGCCGGCCAGCGGGCUGCUCUUCGCCGGGUAGAAUGCCAUGAACGAUACCUUAUUUUCUGAGUGGCUUCAGAGGAAUCGUUCAUGACUUAUUUUCUCAAGCUCUCACUGGAUAUUGUUCUUCCAAAGAUUCAGAUGACUGGUUGGGUAAAAGUCCUUGAGCAAAAUUCUGUACUGUUUGUGCCAGAUGUGUGGAGGAAUUGAUUUGCUCACUGUAAGCAAAAUAGCUGCUCUUGGUUGAAGGACUGUAAAUACCUGGGCACAGGACUUCAAAGCAAACAUACACCCCAGACCCCCUCUUAAUAUUUUAAGAAUAAAAAGAUGAUGAGAAAUAAGGACAAAAGCCAAGGAGAGGAGGGUUCAGUCCACAGCAAUACAUCGAGGUAUGACCUAUCAGCUUUCUUUUUUUUUUUUUUUUUUGUAAAACCUGUGAAUACCCAGUUUACUUUGACAGCCUUGGGUUACUGUCAGUGCUUAAUAGAAAACAUUUUACUGAUUUUGCUUCCUUUUUAAGGAAUGACCUUGAGAUUGUUAGCAUGCCACACCCUAAUUUUUUUUGGUAGCAAUUUCUGAAAGUUGUGUUGUGACUUAAGGGCCCAUGUCCUAGGCAAAAGGUACUGUACCUUUAUUCAGGGCAGCCCUUGCCUCUAUAGGAUGUUUUUCCAGCUUUUGAAUUUCAGUUUUUAGGUUUUUUGUGCUGUGAAAAAUGACCUUGUCGGUUUAGCCAUGGCUGCAUUGCACCAUUUUACAUACAAGGCAAAUUUUUCUUUGAAGAAUCUCAGAAGUCUAAACUUUAACUGAGGGCCAUACAGAAGCCUGAUGUAGUAGUAAAUUAUAGUAAAGAGACACAAGAAAAAGUUACAUGAGUGAAAAAAAGCUCAUUUUAAAAUAUAAACUGGAAAGUGCCUGUUUGUCUGAUACCCCUUACUUCAAAUUUUAUUUGAUCUUGUAGAACUUUGAUACUGUAGAGGUAUUUUAGAGUAUUUUUAUACAAUUUAACUAGACUUUGUCCAGCUGGUGAUGGCAUUUUGUAUCAUAAAAUAUACACUGGGACUGUUAACAAGAGGUACAAAAUGCUUUGCUUGUUUUGUUUAAUGUAUUUUUGCUCAGUCUUUAUUUACUUUUGUCGAGUAAUGAGAUUCUUUACAGAUUUUUAGAAACUUAACCUUGGUGUGGGAA